rnacentral:rRNA from 1 species
GCAGUCGAACGCUGAAGCCCAGCUUGCUGGGUGGAUGAGUGGCGAACGGGUGAGUAACACGUGGGUAAUCUGCCCUGUACUCUGGGAUAAGCCUGGGAAACUGGGUCUAAUACCGGAUAGGACACACUGCCGCAUGGUGGUGUGUGGAAAGCUCCGGCGGUACAGGUUGAGCCCGCGGCCUAUCAGCUUGUUGGUGGGGUGAUGGCCUACCAAGGCGACGACGGGUAGCCGGCCUGAGAGGGUGACCGGCCACACUGGGACUGAGACACGGCCCAGACUCCUACGGGAGGCAGCAGUGGGGAAUAUUGCACAAUGGGCGCAAGCCUGAUGCAGCGACGCCGCGUGGGGGAUGACGGCCUUCGGGUUGUAAACCCCUUUCGCCAGGGACGAAGCGUAAGUGACGGUACCUGGAGAAGAAGCACCGGCCAACUACGUGCCAGCAGCCGCGGUAAUACGUAGGGUGCAAGCGUUGUCCGGAAUUAUUGGGCGUAAAGAGCUCGUAGGCGGUGUGUCACGUCUGCCGUGAAAACCUGCGGCUUAACCGUGGGCGUGCGGUGGAUACGGGCAUCACUUGAGUUCGGUAGGGGAGACUGGAAUUCCUGGUGUAGCGGUGGAAUGCGCAGAUAUCAGGAGGAACACCGGUGGCGAAGGCGGGUCUCUGGGCCGAUACUGACGCUGA